rnacentral:rRNA from 1 species
GACGAACGCUGGCGGCGUGCUUAACACAUGCAAGUCGAACGGAAAGGCCCUGCUUUUGUGGGGCGCUCGAGUGGCGAACGGGUGAGUAACACGUGAGUAACCUGCCCUUGACUUUGGGAUAACUUCAGGAAACUGGGGCUAAUACCGGAUAGGAGCUCCUGCUGCAUGGUGGGGGUUGGAAAGUUUCGGCGGUUGGGGAUGGACUCGCGGCUUAUCAGCUUGUUGGUGGGGUAGUGGCUUACCAAGGCUUUGACGGGUAGCCGGCCUGAGAGGGUGACCGGCCACAUUGGGACUGAGAUACGGCCCAGACUCCUACGGGAGGCAGCAGUGGGGAAUAUUGCACAGUGGGCGGAAGCCUGAUGCAGCAACGCCGCGUGCGGGAUGACGGCCUUCGGGUUGUAAACCGCUUUCGCCUGUGACGAAGCGUGAGUGACGGUAAUGGGUAAAGAAGCACCGGCUAACUACGUG